AAUCAAUAAUACAAAUGCCUGCAAAGUUUGAGUCAGGUAGAUUGUCAGCAGACUCAACAAAUAACAAUUUUAAUACUGUUAUUCCAUAGCACUUUUGUUUGUGGUUCUCUGUGCCUACGAAUACAUACACAAGACAUUCACUGUGACAGUGAAGGGAAUGCACAAUCACAAGUAUGUGGAGACAGCUUGGACUGACAUUCAAACCAGCUAUUAUGUCCUGCUUUACCAAUCUUACCAGAAAUGCUUCUUCUUUCAUAUACCAGAAAUGCCUCUUUCAAAUGUUUUGCAGAAUCCUAGUAAACAGUCAACAAGAAUAGGAGUACAAGUCCCAAUACAAUUAUAAAGUUGUAUCUAAUACCAUGAUAUAUUGAAAAAUAUACUAUUUUAGCAAGGCAUUUAGUAAAUAAGUACUUUCUGUCCUGGAUCUUGUUUAGCUUUAUUAUUAUUAUUAUUAUUAUUAUUAUUAUUAUUAUUAUUAUUAUUACUCUUAUG